AAGACGGCCCUACGGGUUGUAAACUGCUUUUGUACCGGAAUAAACCCCGAACGAGUUCGGGUUGAAUGUACGGUAAGAAUAAGGAUCGGCUAACUCCGUGC
rnacentral:rRNA from 1 species